AGGGUCGCGGCGGUGUGCGCAGAAGGGGUCUGGGCGCGAGCCUGCCUGGAGCCGCCGUCGGUGCAGAUCUUGGUGGUAGUAGCAAAUACUCCAGCGAGGCCCUGGAGGACUGACGUAGAGAAGGGUUUCGUGUGAACAGCCGUUGCACACGAGUCAGUCGAUCCUAAGCCCUAGGAGAAAUCCUAUGUCAAUGACGGCGUACUUGUACUCAAGUGUUUACUCUCUGUCUCGUCGUCGUCGUCGCACUCUCGUCGCGUGUGACGCGCGCGCCCGCUUGCCGGGCGACGCUCUACGUCGCGCUGAACGACGAGCUGUGUGUUCGCGCGCGCGAGCUCAUGUGCUGUGACACACGCCCGUCGGGCGAAAGGGAAUCCGGUUCCUAUUCCGGAACCCGUCAGCGGAACCGCAUACAAUUCGUGCCCUCGUAAGAGUGUUCGUCGGGGUAACCCAAAAUGACCUGGAGACGCCGUCGGGGAUUCCGGGAAGAGUUUUCUUUUCUGUAAAAGCUUUCGAGUUCCCUGGAAACCUCUAGCAUGGAGAUAGGGUUUGGAACGCGAAGAGCACCGCAGUUGCGGCGGUGUCCGGAUCUUCCCCUCGGACCUUGAAAAUCCAGGAGAGGGCCACGUGGUGGUGUCGCGCCGGUUCGUACCCAUAUCCGCAGCAGGUCUCCAAGGUAAAGAGCCUCUAGUCGAUAGAUUAAUGUAGGUAAGGGUAGUCGGCAAAUUGGAUCCGUAACUUCGGAAUAAGGAUUUCCUCUGAGGAGCGGGGCGUGUCGGGUUUGGUCGGGAAGCGGGUCUGGCUGACAUGCCGGGCCUGGGCGAGGUGAACGCUCGGCGUUCUCGCGCCGAACAUGGGAUCCGAGCUCGGUCCCGUGCCUUGGCCUCCCGCGGAUCUUCCUUGCUGCGAGGCUUCCGUGGCGGCGCCAGCCGUCGCGGUCGUCCUCUUCGGCCGCCAUUCAACGCUCAGCUCAGAACUGGCACGGACUAGGGGAAUCCGACUGUCUAAUUAAAACAAAGCAUUGCGAUGGCCCUCGCGGGUGUUGACGCAAUGUGAUUUCUGCCCAGUGCUCUGAAUGUCAACGUGAAGAAAUUCAAGCAAGCGCGGGUAAACGGCGGGAGUAACUAUGACUGGUGGGAGUAACUAUGACUCUCUUAAGGUGGACCUCCUCAUCUCUUGAUACCC
rnacentral:ncRNA from 1 species